UACGUAGGGUGCAAGCGUUAAUCGGAAUUACUGGGCGUAAAGCGUGCGCAGGCGGUUUUGUAAGUCAGAUGUGAAAUCCCCGGGCUCAACCUGGGCACGGCAUUUGAGACUGCAAGGCUAGAGUGUGUCAGAGGGGGGUAGAAUUCCACGUGUAGCAGUGAAAUGCGUAGAGAUGUGGAGGAAUACCGAUGGCGAAGGCAGCCCCCCUGGGAUAACACUGACGCUCAUGCACGAAAGCGUGGGGAGCAAACAGG
rnacentral:rRNA from 1 species